UGGGGAAUAUUGCGCAAUGGGGGAAACCCUGACGCAGCGACGCCGCGUGAGCGAAGAAGGCCUUCGGGUCGUAAAGCUCUUUUAUGAGGGAAGAUAAUGACGGUACCUCAAGAAAAAGCCCCGGCUAACUACGUGCCAGCAGCCGCGGUAAUACGUAGGGGGCUAGCGUUGUCCGGAAUCACUGGGCGUAAAGGGUUCGCAGGCGGAAUAACAAGUCAGAUGUGAAAGGCAGAGGCUCAACCUCUGUAAGCAAUUGAAACUGUAUUUCUUGAGAUGUGGAGAGGCAAGUGGAAUUCCUAGUGUAGCGGUGAAAUGCGUAGAUAUUAGGAAGAAUACCGGUGGCGAAGGCGACUUGCUGGACACAAACUGACGCUGAGGAACGAAAGCGUGGGUAGCAAACAGG
rnacentral:rRNA from 1 species